CACCACCCUGUCACCACCACGGCGUCAUCGUCAAAGCUGAAAUAUGCGUUUCGUUGACGUUUUGUUUUUUUUUCGACUGAGUUUGAUGAAAAGGACAUGACCACAGUACCUGGAAGCCACUUGGUUGAGCCUCGAGUUUACUCUAAAGCAUCCUUUUUAAUUCUAUUUAGUGGAAAAUUUUAAAGCUUUGCGUAUUCGUGUGCAGCUGUAUAGUAUUCCUAUAACCUGUGAAUUUAAUUUAAACCACGAUGGUAAGCUUUAGAAUAAAAGUUCCCCUCCACUUGCCACUAUGCAAUAACAAUCAGGCGUUCCAUUCUAUCCAAAGAAACUGGACACUAAUGUUGGUAUCCAGUUCCUCACAAGAAGUAUAUUUGUAAACAAGAUGGCGUCUUCAACAGAAAAGAAAUCUGCAAGACAAUCCACACUUGCAUUUCGAUUGAUCAAUCCGGAGUUAUUUAUCAAACCUAACAAAGUGAUCAUGAUUGGAGGUUCAGUUGCACUUGCUGGCUGUGUAUUGUUCCUGGGUUACAUGAAUUUUGGAGAAGAAAAACAGACAGUUUCAACAUCGGUACAUAACCAUGGACGUGUGAAAAGCAAGUGGGACUAAAUGGCAAGUUAUACACAGGAAAAGAACACUGGAAAAAAACAUGCAUGUCAUCUGCAUUAUCAAUAGACAUAUUCUGCUGUGGGAAUGUGCCGAGGCAGUUCUGUGCUCUACCUCUCAACAAAUCAAGCACUCCAGUUGAAUUUAAUGUAAACAUCUCAGUAACUGCCAUUACUUGAUUGUGAGUAGAAUGUUGUCACCAGAAAUAGGCUAAUAAUGCUAAGAACAAAAUUUAACACCGCCAGUAAGCAAAUGUCAAUUUCCAUUCUGAGUGUUGAGAUCAUAACAGGCAAAAUUGUUUGGAGCAACUUCAAACUGCCACACAAAUUGUUAAGAUUUAAAGAGGAUGAAAAAAAACCACUUCAUCUAUCAAUAAGAUAAAUGAGAAAUAAACUGUAAAGGAUUCUUAGAAAAUAUUCUUAACUAUAAUAUGUCUUUUGACAGCUCUAAGGUGAAUUGUUGAUUACGUGGACUGAUAUCAAACCAGUGAUUGGCAAUUUUUUUGGAAAAAACUCCUUUUUUCCCUUCCUUCCUGUUUUUAAUCAAUUGUUAUUAUGCAGCCAUAUCUUGUUUGCUGAUCAUCUCUUGUGAAAAGAACUAUUCAGUGGGUUUGUACUCCCUUAUCCAAGAUUUCCUUUUAUGUGGAAUGUAGCUACAAUUAAACCUCAAGAAAAACUUGUUCAGAGCAUUCUAUUCUGAAUGACUGUGGAUAUAUGAAUAUCAUAUGAAAAAAACAUUUCAGGCCUGUACGGGAGUUGAACCCAUCACCUCUGCGAUACCGGUGCAGUGCUCUACCAACUGGAAGCUCGUCAUUUUGUUGGUUCGUAUUUAAUCCGUGAAGUGAUGUUCAUAACUGCUUUUCCAUCAGACCAGUUGUUUAAUCAGUUUUCAGAGAAGACCGAAAGUGGGGUAAUUGUGAACAACAACUCCCUGAAAAAGCCUAUCGGUCGUCAGUCGGCCAACAGUGCGCCGACUGUCAGCCGACAGGUUUUUUCUAUGGAGUUGUUCUACGUGAUUACCCCUUGUCCUCUCGACGAGCUCGUGAGUACGUGAGAACAGAAACAAUUCAAACUAGUAUGUCUUCCGCGAUAAUUACACAUUUCCUUUCAAAGGAAGUUGAAAGUAGAU